GCCUCGAUAGCGCAGUAGGCAGCGCGCGAGUCUCAUAAUCUCGAGGUCGUGAGUUCGAACCACAAUCGGGGCA
rnacentral:tRNA from 1 species